rnacentral:lncRNA from 1 species
AUGUCCCAAGAAACAAUGGAACAGAGGAUGGAAAACAACAGUGACAUCCACCUUUGUGCCAGGCAUAGUGCCAGUACUCCCGAGCCACACAGGCACCUGUUUCCAACCUCGCAUUCGUGCUUGUCACCAUGCGUAACGAAACAUUUGAGCUAUGAAAGCUUAAAAGUAUAUGAAGAAACAAUUAUGUGUGUUAUGAAACUGUUCAGCAGUAUGGAUCGGGGCCAGCUCUAUCCAUUCCCAGAUGUAAUGGACGUAAUUAUGAUUUGUUUUUUGUUGUUUAAAAAAUUGAAAAGAAGCAAAACCCUGGUGACAAGAAACGACAAAGCCAACAAAAUCUGA